AUUGAACGCUGGCGGCAUGCCUUACACAUGCAAGUCGAACGGUAACAGGUCUUCGGAUGCUGACGAGUGGCGAACGGGUGAGUAAUACAUCGGAACGUGCCCGAGAGUGGGGGAUAACGAGGCGAAAGCUUUGCUAAUACCGCAUACGAUCUCAGGAUGAAAGCAGGGGACCGCAAGGCCUUGCGCUCACGGAGCGGCCGAUGGCAGAUUAGGUAGUUGGUGGGAUAAAAGCUUACCAAGCCGACGAUCUGUAGCUGGUCUGAGAGGACGACCAGCCACACUGGGACUGAGACACGGCCCAGACUCCUACGGGAGGCAGCAGUGGGGAAUUUUGGACAAUGGGCGCAAGCCUGAUCCAGCCAUGCCGCGUGCAGGAUGAAGGCCUUCGGGUUGUAAACUGCUUUUGUACGGAACGAAAAGACUCUGGUUAAUACCUGGGGUCCAUGACGGUACCGUAAGAAUAAGCACCGGCUAACUACGUGCCAGCCGCCGCCGUAACAC
rnacentral:rRNA from 1 species